rnacentral:rRNA from 1 species
AUAAAAAACCAACGCCCUUCGGGGCUCCUUGGUGAAUCAUAAUAACUUAACGAAUCGCAUGGCCUUGCGCCGGCGAUGGUUCAUUCAAAUUUCUGCCCUAUCAACUCUCGAUGGUAGGAUAGUGGCCUACCAUGGUGGCAACGGGUAACGGGGAAUUAGGGUUCGAUUCCGGAGAGGGAGCCUGAGAAACGGCUACCACAUCCAAGGAAGGCAGCAGGCGCGCAAAUUACCCAAUCCCGAUACGGGGAGGUAGUGACAAUAAAUACUGAUACGGGGCUCUUUCGGGUCUCGUAAUUGGAAUGAGAACAAUUUAAACCCCUUAACGAGGAACAAUUGGAGGGCAAGUCUGGUGCCAGCAGCCGCGGUAAUUCCAGCUCCAAUAGCGUAUAUUAAAGUUGUUGCAGUUAAAAAGCUCGUAGUUGAACUUUGGGUCUGGCUGGCCGGUCCGCCUCACCGCGAGUACUGGUCCGGCUGGACCUUUCCUUCUGGGGAACCUCAUGGCCUUCACUGGCUGUGG